ensembl:miRNA
ACUGGCUGACCUACAGCAGUUCUUCACUGGCAAGCUUUAUGUCCUCAUGUACCAACUAAAGCUGCCAGCUGAAGAACUGUUGUGGUCGGCUCUU